rnacentral:tRNA from 1 species
GCUCUCGUAGCUCAUUUGGUUAGAGCGUCCACUUAGUAAACGGAAAUCUUGAGUUCGACUCUCAAUGGAGAGCA